AGUGGCUUACAAAUAAAAAGAAAAAUAAAACCACGGAUCUUAGUAGAACUAAUGCAUUCCUCACUGCUUUCACACUCUGAAUAUUCUUUUAUCCCGAUACAAAUUCCUCAAUCAUUUAUGUAGAAAAUAAUUCAAGCAAUUAUAUAUUCUCUUUUUAUAGAUAUUUUUAAAUUUGUCUUUAUAAAAUAUUGUCCAUUUAUUUUAUCUAUUUUUUGGUAAAUUUACAUUAUCGUCGUAAACAUAUUAACAUAAAUGUCUAGAUCAAGCGUAUUU